CUUUGAUAAUCUAAGCAAGAAGACUGGGCAAAGAUUUAGACAGGGAGUCUGUCAUACAAAAUCCACCUAUUCAUCCAUCAGACCUUGUCUAUCAGUCAAGGACCAGUGAAUCAUGAUUGUACAGAAAACCCUGAAUACUUCAAUGAACUGUUCAAAGAAGUAACUAGACUCUACUUUGAAUCAAUCUAUACAACUUCUCCAAAGAAAUAAUUUCUUCUUGGGUUCUGGCAUUAUGAACACACAUGUGGCAAAACAUCAAAUUUGACUUGGGAUGUUUUUGGCAAAGAUUUAACAACAGUACAAAGUGUGGUUUAAAAAGUACAAAAUGUGGUUACAUGUAUGUAUGUAUAAAAUAUCACAUUUGCCUCCCUGAAGAAAGUAUUAAUAAUUCUUUUAUUCAGAUUUUUGCAAUAAAUGCAAGCAGCUUUGGA